AUCCAAGGAUGGCAGCAGGCGCGCAAAUUACCCAAUCCCGACACGGGGAGGUAGUGACAAUAAAUAACAAUACGGGGUUCUUUAGGAUCUCGUAAUUGGAAUGAGUACAAUUUAAAUCUCUUAACGAGGAACAAUUGGAGGGCAAGUCUGGUGCCAGCAGCCGCGGUAAUUCCAGCUCCAAUAGCGUAUAUUAAAGUUGUUGCAGUUAAAAAGCUCGUAGUUGAAUUUCGGGGUUAGUAGGUUGGUCAUGCCUCUGGUAUGUACUGGUCUCANNGAUUCCUCCUUCCUUAUGAACCGUAAUGCCAUUAAUUUGGUGUUGCGGGGAAUUUGGACUGUUACUUUGAAAAAAUUAGAGUGUUUAAAGCAAGCUAACGCUUGAAUACAUUAGCAUGGAAUAAUGAAAUAGGACGUUCGAUCUUAUUUUGUUGGUUUCUAGGAUUGACGUAAUGAUUAAUAGGGAUAGUUGGGGGCAUUAGUAUUCAAUUGUCAGAGGUGAAAUUCUUGGAUUUAUUGAAGACUAACUACUGCGAAAGCAUUUGCCAAGGAUGUUUUCAUUAAUCAAGAACGAAAGUUAGGGGAUCGAAGACGAUCAGAUACCGUCGUAGUAACCAUAAACUAUGCCGACUAGGG
rnacentral:rRNA from 1 species